UACGGGGGGGGCAAGCGUUGUUCGGAAUUACUGGGCGUAAAGGGCUCGUAGGUGGCCAACUAAGUCGGACGUGAAAUCCCUCAGCUUAACUGGGGAACUGCGUCUGAUACUGGAUGGCUUGAGUUUGGGAGAGGGACGCGGAAUUCCAGGUGUAGCGGUGAAAUGCGUAGAUAUCUGGAGGAACACCGGUGGCGAAGGCGGCGUCCUGGACCAACACUGACACUGAGGAGCGAAAGCCAGGGGAGCAAACGGG
rnacentral:rRNA from 1 species